AAAUCUUACCAGGUCCGGACACACUGAGGAUUGACAGGAAGUAUCGUCUUUUGAAAUCUUUAAGCACAUGUCGUUUCUAAUGACAUCUUUUAGAUGAAUGAUUCGUGUAAAUAUGCUAGUUCUUUCAUGAUUAUGUGAUAGGUGGUGCAUGGCCGUUCUUAGUUCGUGGAGUGAUCUGUCUGCUUAAUUGCGUUUCACUAUGGCCCCAAAGUUAGCAAGUUAUCCAAUCAUGACCUUCGUCGACCCCUCACCUUUGAGUGCGCGUCCUAGCUUAGAGUACAUGGUGUAAAUGGACUUGUUUUGGGUACCCAGAAAGCAACGAACGUGACCGCAACGUCUUGUUGUCUCUCUUUUGACAGUUAUGGGUUAUCCCAGUCAUGUGUUUAUACUUUUAUGUGUAAAUACGUACGACACAGAGACUAGAUACCAAACUAGGCGUACCGCUGUAUCAUUUCUUUAAACCAGAGGAAGGUUGCGGCAAUAACAGGUC
rnacentral:rRNA from 1 species